CCGCCAAGACGUCCGCGUUCAAGGAGGGCGGGGCUACGGAGAAACCCGACCCCGGAGGUGCGCUCGCGAGAUCUCUGAGGGACCCAUCGGCACUCCUCAAGUUCUCGCGAGAAUUUUCCAGUCCAGGACUCCACUGUGCUAAGAGAAUGAACUCUGGAGUCAGACUUGCGAGGUAAAAAUCCUGGUCAUAUAUGCGAGCUGGGAGACCUUAGAUUAGUAACUUAGCUACUCAGAGACACUAUUUCCUCAUCUGUAAAAUUAAGGUUAAAGUAGCAUUCACUCCAGUACUCUUGCCUGAAAAAUCUCAUGGACGGAGGAGCCUGGUGGGCUGCAGUCCAUGGGGU
rnacentral:lncRNA from 1 species